CUCUCUCUCUCUCUUCCGUGUUGGGUUUCAUGUAUUCCCUCGGGUCUGAAGCAUCCUCUGUUCCCGGCAAGUAUCAAGGAAGACGAUCGGCCCAUCGGUGAGGAACACCUCCGCAGCGCUUCAAGCUCUCGAUGCCAGCCGCGAAUAUGUCGAUCGACGAGUUUGAAAGGUAGAAGUCGAAGCUCGCGGGGCCUUCGUAGCCGCGCUGCUAGAUCUCCAAAAGGCCCAAAAGCUCGCUAUGAAGCGGGAAGAUGCCCGCAACGCCUCCCCUUCUCGGCCUUGGCCGCUGACGAGCUCGCCCGGCGAAGAGACUGCUGCGGGAGAGGAUGCAGGUGAUGACGACGACAGGUUGCUGCUCUGGGAACAGACGAGGUAAGCAUUUCUGGAGUACACAAAACAGAGAUUGGCCCAAAUAAAACCUUCAAUUUGGUUUACACCAAGAUGAUGGCAAGAGUUACUCUCCUUGGAGAAUGAGACAGCCUUCAAUGAGGCCAUAAUAGAGGAAAGGGAGGAAGAUAUCAAAGAAAUACACUAUGAUGUACAGCAAAUACACGAAAUUUAUCAAGAUCUCGCUGUCUUACUUCAUGACCAGCCUAUCAGUAUAGAUAACAUCGAUAAGCGUAUCGAAGAGUCAGCAGCAUCGACAGGCCGAGCUAAAGAACAACUGUACAAGGCUUCCAAAUGCAGUAGAUCUAGGUCUUCUUGGGUGUGCUGGGUGUUGAUAAUUUUGGUGCUGGUGCUGGUCAUCCUUCUCCUUGUUCUCAUCUUGCACCGGUUGCUUGCCCGGCAUGACAAUCCAGUACAAUCACUAGUGAAGCAAUGAUCAUUCGACGUGUCAGGCAAUAUGUAUCGCUAAUCAGUUUCUAACAUCUCAUGAUUGUAAGCUAAUUUUGAAGCAUCACAAUGUAAUCGAGUAUGCUUUGUACUAAUCUAUACCUGAAUUCUAUCA